GCGGACGGGUGAGUAACACGUGAGUAACUUGCCUUAGACAUUGGGAUAGCCUCGGGAAACCGGGAUUAAUACCAAAUAAAAUCAUAAUGACACAUGUCAUAACGAUCAAAACUCCGGUGGUCUAAGAUGGACUCGCGUCCCAUUAGCUAGUUGGUAGAGUAAAAGCCUACCAAGGCGACGAUGGGUAGCCGGCCUGAGAGGGUGGACGGCCACAUUGGGACUGAGAUACGGCCCAG
rnacentral:rRNA from 1 species